AUACGUAGGGUGCGAGCGUUGUCCGGAAUUACUGGGCGUAAAGAGCUCGUAGGUGGUUUGUCGCGUCGUCUGUGAAAUUCCGGGGCUUAACUCCGGGCGUGCAGGCGAUACGGGCAUAACUUGAGUACUGUAGGGGAGACUGGAAUUCCUGGUGUAGCGGUGAAAUGCGCAGAUAUCAGGAGGAACACCGGUGGCGAAGGCGGUUCUCUGGGAAGUAACUGACGCUGAGGGGCGAAAGCAUGGGUAGCGAACAGGAUUAGAUACCCUGGUAGUCCAUGCCGUAAACGGUGGGCGCUAGGUGUAGGGGUCUUCCACGACUUCUGUGCCGUAGCUAACGCAUUAAGCGCCCCGCCUGGGGAGUACGGCCGCAAGGCUAAAACUCAAAGGAAUUGACGGGG
rnacentral:rRNA from 1 species